UACGUAGGGUGCAAGCGUUUGUCCGGAAUUAUUGGGCGUAAAGAGCUCGUAGGCGGUCUGUCGCGUCUGCUGUGAAAACUCAGGGCUUAACCCUGAGCUUGCAGUGGGUACGGGCAGACUAGAGUGCGGUAGGGGAGACUGGAAUUCCUGGUGUAGCGGUGAAAUGCGCAGAUAUCAGGAGGAACACCGAUGGCGAAGGCAGCUCACUGGGACGGUACUGACGCUGGAGAACGCGAAAGCGUGGGGAGCAAACAGG
rnacentral:rRNA from 1 species